CCCUUCGGGGUGUGACUGCGUACCUUUUGUAUAAUGGGUCAGCGACUUAUAUUCUGUAGCAAGGUUAACCGUAUAGGGGAGCCGGAGGGAAACCGAGUCUUAACCGGGCGUUAAGUUGCAGGGUAUAGACCCGAAACCCGGUGAUCUAGCCAUGGGCAGGUUGAAGGUUGGGUAACACUAACUGGAGGACCGAACCGACUAAUGUUGAAAAAUUAGCGGAUGACCUGUGGCUGGGGGUGAAAGGCCAAUCAAACCGGGAGAUAGCUGGUUCUCCCCGAAAGCUAUUUAGGUAGCGCCUCGUGAAUUCAUCUCCGGGGGUAGAGCACUGUUUCGGCUAGGGGGCCAUCCCGGCUUACCAACCCGAUGCAAACUGCGAAUACCGGAGAAUGUUAUCACGGGAGACACACGGCGGGUGCUAACGUCCGUCGUGAAGAGGGAAACAACCCAGACCGCCAGCUAAGGUCCCAAAGUCAUGGUUAAGUGGGAAACGAUGUGGGAAGGCCCAGACAGCCAGGAUGUUGGCUUAGAAGCAGCCAUCAUUUAAAGAAAGCGUAAUAGCUCACUGGUCGAGUCGGCCUGCGCGGAAGAUGUAACGGGGCUAAACCAUGCACCGAAGCUGCGGCAGCGAACGUAUCACCCAAGACAACUUUACGGAGUUGACGAUUGACGGAGCGAAGCGACGUCAAAGCGUUCAUUAAAGUCGAGUUGGCUUAGGGAUACGUU
rnacentral:rRNA from 1 species